rnacentral:rRNA from 1 species
UACGUAGGGUGCAAGCGUUGUCCGGAAUUAUUGGGCGUAAAGGGCUCGUAGGCGGUUUGUCGCGUCGGGAGUGAAAUCCACUGGCUUAACUGGUGGCUUGCUUUCGAUACGGGCAGACUGGAGGUAUGCAGGGGAGAACGGAAUUCCUGGUGUAGCGGUGAAAUGCGCAGAAUAUCAGGAGGAACACCGAUGGCGAAGGCAGGUCUCUGGGCAUUAACUGACGCUGAGGAGCGAAAGCAUGGGGAGCGAACAGG